rnacentral:rRNA from 1 species
AACGAACGUUGGCGGCGUGGAUUAGGCAUGCAAGUCGAACGCGAAAGGGUAGCAAUACCCGAGUAAAGUGGCGAACGGGUGAGUAACGCGUAGGAAACCUGCCUUCGAGUGGGGGAUAACAUUCCUAACGGGAUGCUAAUACCGCAUGAAACUGAGAGGUCGCAUGGCCUCACAGUCAAAGGUGGCCUCUAUUUAUAAGCUACCGCUCAAAGAUGGUCCUGCGUCCCAUUAGCUAGUUGGGGGGUAACGGCUCACCAAGGCUCCGAUGGGUAGCCGAUCUGAGAGGAUGACCGGCCACACUGGGACUGAGAUACGGCCCAGACUCCUACGGGAGCAGCAGUCGAGAGGCUUCGGCAAUGGGGGAAACCCUGACCGAGCGACGCCGCGU